GACGAACGCUGGCGGCGUGCUUAACACAUGCCAGUCGAACGGAGAGGCCCUGCUUUUGUGGGGUGCUCGAGUGGCGAACGGGUGAGUAACACGUGAGUAACCUGCCCUUGACUUUGGGAUAACUUCAGGAAACUGGGGCUAAUACCGGAUAGGAGCUCCUGCUGCAUGGUGGGGGUUGGAAAGUUUCGGCGGUUGGGGAUGGACUCGCGGCUUAUCAGCUUGUUGGUGGGGUAGUGGCUUACCAAGGCUUUGACGGGUAGCCGGCCUGGGAGGGGGACCGGCCACAUUGGGACUGAGAUACGGCCCAGACUCCUACGGGAGGCAGCAGGGGGGAAUAUUGCACAAUGGGCGGAAGCCUGAUGCAGCAACGCCGCGUGCGGGAUGACGGCCUUCGGGUUGAAAACCGCUUUCGCCUGUGACGAAGCGUGAGUGACGGUAAUGGGUAAAGAAGCACCGGCUAACUACGUG
rnacentral:rRNA from 1 species